rnacentral:rRNA from 1 species
GGUGAAAAGCACCCCGGAAGGGGAGUGAAAUAGAACCUGAAACCGUGUGCUUACAAGUAGUCAGAGCCCGUUAAUGGGUGAUGGCGUGCCUUUUGUAGAAUGAACCGGCGAGUUACGAUUUGAUGCAAGGUUAAGCAGUAAAUGUGGAGCCGUAGCGAAAGCGAGUCUGAAUAGGGCGUUUAGUAUUUGGUCGUAGACCCGAAACCAGGUGAUCUACCCUUGGUCAGGUUGAAGUUCAGGUAACACUGAAUGGAGGACCGAACCGACUUACGUUGAAAAGUGAGCGGAUGAACUGAGGGUAGCGGAGAAAUUCCAAUCGAACCUGGAGAUAGCUGGUUCUCUCCGAAAUAGCUUUAGGGCUAGCCUCAAGUGAUGAUUAUUGGAGGUAGAGCACUGUUUGGACGAGGGGCCCCUCUCGGGUUACCGAAUUCAGACAAACUCCGAAUGCCAAUUAAUUUAACUUGGGAGUCAGAACAUGGGUGAUAAGGUCCGUGUUCGAAAGGGAAACAGCCCAGACCACCAGCUAAGGUCCCAAAAUAUAUGUUAAGUGGAAAAGGAUGUGGCGUUGCCCAGACAACUAGGAUGUUGGCUUAGAAGCAGCCAUCAUUUAAAGAGUGCGUAAUAGCUCACUAGUCGAGUGACACUGCGCCGAAAAUGUACCGGGGCUAAACAUAUUACCGAAGCUGUGGAUUGUCCUUUGGACAAU